AUUUGCUGGCGGCAUCCGGGGACGUGUCUCAGUCGCUGGUCGAGAGGAAGCGGCGCUGUCAGCCAUGGGCGAUGCCCGAGAGGAGACGGAGGCCCGGGCCGGCGAGGUCCGCCUCGUCGUCAAGAGCCCCGCGCACCGCCACCCGGACCUGUUGCUGCCGGCUCAGCGCUCCUGGAGCGUCUGCCGCCUGAAGGCCGAGCUCCGCCGCCUUCACCCGGACGCUCCGCCAGAAGCCACUCAGAGGUUGAUUUAUGCUGGGAAGCUCCUGCACGACCACCUUUCCUUGCAAGAUGUGCUUAACAAGGAAGAAACGCUGCAUGUACUCCACUUGGUGUGCAGCUCAAAGGCUCUGCCUGCAGGACAAGAUGCUGCUAUGAAGGCGGCUGAAGCCCAGCAGCAGCCGGCAGCUUUUGGCCGAGAUUCCCCUGUACAUCCUUCAGUUCACCCUUGGAAUCGAAGGGAAGAUGCCUGCAAUAGGCCUCCCGCAGAAGCUGCUGGCAGUCGAUCCCAGCCGGCACCGCAUCCUUUUCAUGGCAUGAACCCCGCCUAUGCGUCCUACACAACGUACCGCCUGCUGCAGUUAUGGUUCCAUCAGAUUUAUGCAAGACAAUAUUACAUGCAAUACAUGGCUGCCAACGCCGCUUCUAGCAGCCUGUCUUCUAGACAAAGCACACAGGAGAUCCCAGUGGCUCCUGUCGCUGCUCCGGCUCCUCUGCCCGGUCCGUUUCCUGCCGAAAAUCAGCCUGAAAAUCAAAACGUUGCCCCUCAGGUGAACCCAGGGGUCAAUCAGAACCUACGGAUGAAUGCCCAGGGAGGUCCUUUAAUGGAAGAAGAGGAAGCAAAUCGGGACUGGCUGGACUGGCUGUACUCCGCAACCCUGUUCUAUGUCUUCAUCAGCAUUGUCUAUUUCUACUCCAGCAUGAGCCGGCUUUUCAUGGUGCUGCUCGGCACCUUGCUGAUGUACCUGCACCAGGUGGGUUGGUUCCCCUUCCAUCGGAGGCCAGGUCAGCCGGGCCAGAACAACCUUCCUCCACAAGCAGCCGUCAACCAGGACCAAAACAAUAAUGUGCAGGGCUGCACAUUUAGAAAUUUAAAUAGAAAUAGAGGCGGUUCUUCGUCUACGCGGGCAUGGAGGCUAUAUAUGUGGAUGUCGGAUGACCACUUGAAGGAUGUCAGUUACAGGAAAGUCGACCGCCAACAGUAACCCGUUCCUGUAAGGGGGUUAUCUGAGGCCAUUCGCUUUUCCAGCUCAGGAUGUCUGCCGGCAAGAAUGCCAGCAAAAGAUCAACACUGCAAAGCCAGCUUUGAGAAAACGGCAUGUGAGAAAGCGGCACGCUCCACCCUUGGAUAAAGGCGAACUCUACCCUGGACUUCUCCAAAAUGGAAGUUGACCCAUGGAAAAGGUUCCACUCUCAUGGCCUGAAGUGUCGCCUAUGGGAACUCUGCCCAUGGGCUGGAAGAUAUCAUCGAAGAGCAGAGUUGGAGGGGGCCAAGAAGUCCAUCAGGCCAGCCCUGUUGGUGCAGGAUGCCAAGGCAACCCGUCCCUCUGCGAUGGCUGUCCGGCUGCCUCUUGAAUGCCUCUAGUGUGGGACAGCCCCCCCCAGGCAAUUGCCCCCCUUGCCACACUCUUCUAACAGUCAAGAAGUGCUUCCUGAUGUCCAGCCAGAAUCUGGUUUGUUGCAGCUUGAAUGCGUUCUUCCACGUGCUGCACUUGGAUGAGCAAAAAGAGGCCUUGUCCUUCCUUUUCUUGAGCUGAGCACGCCCAGUCCUCUCGAUCUUUCCUCACCGGCUUUGCCUCCAGUCCCUGAAUAUCCCUUUGCCUCCUCCAGUUCCUCUGAUCUUUCUUCAGCUGUGGUGCCCAGCACUGGACACAGCAUUCUAGGUGAGGUCUGACUUCUCGUGAUGUGGAAGUGAUGCUUCUACGAAUGCAUCCCAAAAUAGCACUUGCCCUUUUUGCAACUGCACCACAUUGUUGGCUUGUAUUUAGCCCGUUGUCCACAAAAACUCCGAGGUCUUUGUCAGCUCUGUUGCGCCAAGCAUCCCCCACCUUGUAUCGAUGCCUUUGGUUUCCUUUUCCUCGAUGGAGGACUUGGCAUUUGCCCCUGCUGAAUUCCAUUCUGUUGCUUUCAGUCCCAUGUUCCAGCUUAUCUAGACCAUCUUCUUUCUGUCUUCCAUGGUGCUGGCUAUUCUGCCCAGUUUUGUUCCAUCUGCAGAUUUGAUUAUCAUUCCCUGGACGACUUCAUCUAGAUCAUGAAUAAAGAUCUUGCAGAGCCCUGGGCCCAGGACUGAACCCUGCAGCCCUCGCCUGUUACCUCCAUCUAGUGUAAGGAGGUGCCGUUGAUGAGCACUCUUUGAGUCCAGUUCUGUAGCCACUUCUACCGAGUUCACUUUUUGUUAGCUUGCUUAUCAGGAUGUCAUGGAAAUGAAAUGCCUGAAAGUUUCCUGUUUGGUUGUUUUGCUCGUCUGAGGUGGGGAGCCUUACUGGUGUGGUGAAACUAAUCCUCAGAUUGACCAAGAGAUCUCCCACCAUGGGAAGAGAAGGAAGUCGUGCACCUGUCUGGGCACAGGUAAUCCUCCAGAGCAGCCAUGCCCCACCUGCUAGACAUACAACUCCUAGGAUCGCUCACCAAUGGGCUUGCUGCUUAGAAUGACAGGAACUCCAACUCACAGAGGGUACCAGGCUGGAGAAGACAGGACUAGUGAAAGUAAGAGGGGGAGGCCCCAGGACUCCUAGGUAGGGCCAAGGGAGCCAGUGGCUGGGUAGACAACGCAAGAAGCCCUGGUGUUUUUGUGUGUUUUGUUCUGUUUUGUUUUGACCUUUGUUGGUCUAUCAUGUUGUCCGAACCCAGCUGUGCUAUUUCACCAGGCUAGGUUUGGUCUUCAGAAACCACAAUAAGAAACAAUGAUUUCUUUAUGGUUUCUCCAUGCCACCAUGGUUUGUCAUGCUGUCUGAACCCUGGAUCGUGGUUUCCACGGCCCUGGCAUGUAACUACCCCAGAGUCCUCCAGAAAGAAUGGCUAGCCUUUAGGUGUGGACCAAUGAGGAAGAGGCAGGCGACAAAGGCACUUUGGAACUGAAUUUCAGGUACAGUGGCUGACAAGAUUCAUGCAGACGGCUUGGGAGGUUAUUGGAGGUCAUUUGACUCAAAAGUCUUUUCAGAACUGCGUUGGAUUGGUUUUGUCUCCCCCCCCUCCACACACAAAAACACUCCACUCAAGAGACAAUAGAAUAACAACAGGAAGGUCAGGCAUAUGUAUAAACGCCAGCGAGGGACAAUCCAAAUGUUCCGGUCAAGUUGACCUGCGGUGGCCGGAAAAGAUUGGAACUGUUCUUGGCCCGCCAUUUUUCUCCCGAGCCAGCGGCCCUGCGCGUGGGCAUCCGAAGGGCAGGAGGGGCAGUUCUAGGGAUUUCCCCUUGGCCAUUUUUACGUUGACUUGCUAGGAUCUCCACAUGGCUGGGCCAGAGGUGGUCAGGCAGCCUUGUCAAAGCUGCAGCAGUCCGAAGGCUUGUUCUCGCACGCACGAUUAAGGAACGUUUGCCCGUAAAUGCAGGAAUCGCUUCCGCUGCCCCCCUGCACAAGCUCCAGGCAUGGCUAUGAAGUGGCAGGAGGGAAAUCUAGAGCGAUUCACCACACCAUGAAGCAACUGGGAGCAUCCUUGAAAAGUGAAUAAUUCCAACGCGUCUCUUUAUUAGAAGCCGCCACCUGGUGAGUCCUCCAGGGCCAAUCCAGGCUUUUUCAGCCCUGCAUUGCUGGGACGGCUGCUGGGAAAAAGCAAAUUAGGAGCGUAUAAACAUGAUUUUAUGCAAGUGCACACUUAGCAUGAAGACAUAACACGAUAAUCCCAUCCUUAAUCAACUCUGCCACUUUUCCCCAAACAAGUUUGAAGUGUCUCAUAGAAUUCCAGGGUUUCAAAGUGUCCCAUUCUUUUCAAGAUGCUCCCCCUGAGAACAGGAGUGCUGUGAGGAACUUUUAGAGCCUCAAUUUCAUUUAUUAUAUUUUUAUCCCACCUUUUCUCUUUCAGGACCUCAGGGCUACUUAUGUAACU